rnacentral:rRNA from 1 species
UACGUAGGUGGCGAGCGUUGUCCGGAAUUAUUGGGCGUAAAGCGCGCGUAGGCGGGAUAUUAAGUCUCAUUUAAAAGUGCGGGGCUCAACCCCCGUGAUGGGUGAGAAACUAAUAUUCUUGAGUGCCGGAGAGGAAAGCGGAAUUCCCAGUGUAGCGGUGAAAUGCGUAGAUAUCAGGAGGAACACCGGUGGCGAAGGCGGGUCUCUGGGCCGAUACUGACGCUGAGGAGCGAAAGCGUGGGGAGCGAACAGG